UACGUAGGGCGCAAGCGUUGUCCGGAAUUAUUGGGCGUAAAGGGCUCGUAGGCGGUUUGUCGCGUCGGGAGUGAAAACCCAGGGCUUAACUCUGGGCUUGCUUUCGAUACGGGCAGACUAGAGUUCGGCAGGGGAGACUGGAAUUCCUGGUGUAGCGGUGAAAUGCGCAGAUAUCAGGAGGAACACCGGUGGCGAAGGCGGGUCUCUGGGCCGAAACUGACGCUGAGGAGCGAAAGCGUGGGGAGCAAACAGG
rnacentral:rRNA from 1 species